CUACAUUCUGUUUUUAGUGGAACUUCUGAGUAUAAAAAACAAAUAAAUCAAAACUUUCAACAACGGAUCUCUUGGUUCUGGCAUCGAUGAAGAACGCAGCAAAAUGCGAUAAGUAAUGUGAAUUGCAGAAUUCAGUGAAUCAUCGAAUCUUUGAACGCACAUUGCGCCCGCCAGUAUUCUGGCGGGCAUGCCUGUUCGAGCGUCAUUUCAACCCUCAAGCCCAGCUUGGUGUUGGGAUCUGUGUGCAAACACAGUCCCCAAAUUGAUUGGCGGUCACGUCGAGCUUCCAUAGCGUAGUAAUUUACACAUCGUUACUGGUAAUCGUCGCGGCCACGCCGUUAAACCCCAACUUCUGAAUGUUGACCUCGGAUCAGGUAGGAAUACCCGCUGAACUUAAGCAUAUC
rnacentral:rRNA from 1 species